ensembl:lncRNA
UUUUUUUUUUUUUUUUUUUUUUUUUUUCAGGAAGCCUAAUAAAAUCCCAAUAGACCCUGAAGAUAUAUGAGGAACAUUGUGUCUUUCUGAAACUUUCUUGCACUACUUCGAUAUAUUUUACCUUCUGGUUAUAUGGUGUAGGUGACUGUCAUGAAUUUGCCUGGUGUCAGGAAUCAUGUUUUUCAGCAUUUUUUUUCCAAAUUUUCUGAUAAUAAGGCCUAGAUUUUCAGAAGGUUAUUGCCUGAGGAUCUCAACUCUGAUUACAGUGCGCCAGCUUGUAGUCCAAGGACAUAUUCAUAGUCUCUGCUAAAAAAGCACUGAUUAAUAAAGGAGGAUGUCUCCUCCCAGACAUCAUGGUGGGGACCACAGGAGAGAAUGGAGCAGGCAGCAGGACUUCUUCUGCACAGAGCAGUGAGGUUGAUUUCUUGAAUAGUCAGAUAAAGCAGGCUUUUACCUGCCCCAGAGCAAGAACGUAGGUUGCCAAAAGCAGCAUUUUGAUGGCUGUUCCAUGGCUUAAGCCAGUAUUUAGAAGGACAUCUACUCACACUACAAUGGACAAGCCAGUCUCCAGUGAUCUGCUGACACAGAAGAGGAGAACCUUUUGAUCAGCUCAGGUUUGAAGUUCUGGUCUAAUCUCAAUUGUGUGGCCAGAGUGGCUGGAAAUGCAUUUCCUCUGUCUCGGACAGUCCAGAUGCAGUGCACUUUGUCACAAUCUUUCAGGCAGAAUAUGGGAACCUUUAAGUAAUCUGACAAGACAGAUGCAGGGAGACUUCUGCAGAGCAAUUGUGGAGCAUUACUGUAAAGCAAAGGAGAGGUUACAGUGAGGUUUAUCUGUUGCAACAGGACCCCAAAAGCAGGCUGCCACUCUAGUUUAAAAGUCUCUAAAUGAUUUGCCACAGAAUUACGUAAAGCAUGAACUAUCUUUCACCUUGUAUUUCACUCAGACAACACCAUGCCAAGUGCAAGUGAUGACUUUAUUUCAGAGGCUUAAAACAACAGGUAUUUUCUUCUGCUGUUCAGGCUUUGGGAUGCUGAGGCAAAUCUUGUACAUGAAGCUAAAUGGCUGUCUCUUGCUGGUGUGGGUAGGGCUGCAUCUGUAAAAAUCAGGUGAGAAGAAGAGGAACAAUGCUCAUUAAGAGGUGGAUGUACAGACAGCAAGUUGCUCCUGCUUAAUGACUGGGUCACAGUUAUUAACAGAUUAAUACUUCAGCACUGUGCUGGGAAACAUGUUCAUGUUCUGUGCCUUCAGACACGCUGCUUUUCUCUGUGCCAUCUCCCUCACCGGGUUCGAACAUAAUGUUUGGUAAGAGGGAGAAACAGGACUAGGAAGACCCUAAUGCAGAGGCUCAGAGGAGGGUAGCAGAAGAAAAAACUCUGACCGUGUGUUCAUACUUAACAAACUUGUUUGUGUUCCAUUACAAGAAAUAAACUGCUUUUUUGCCAGUAGUCAGAAUCUGAAUGCUGACUCCUGCUAUGUCCCUAUAGAUGGGCAAGAAAGACACUUGGGAGUGCACCUUUACACUAGGUGUUUGGGAGGAGUCAUCUCAUCUGAUGUGAGGUGUCCAUCCAGGACAGGACAUCCAGAUCUCAGCUAGUUUCCCUGGGCUUUCUAUCUUGUAGGAAGGAAUGGGCAUGUUCAGGCUGUGAUUAAUCUCAAUCCUAUUAAUCUCGCUCGUAUUAGCCUAAAAAUAGGCUGUGACACCAGCUGGAGUCCCUUGUUUCUCUCUAUUGCCUCUAUAAUUACUUUGAGGACAAUUAACUCCAACUUAGGCAUUUGGUUUGGAGCUCUCUGAGUGAGAAACUUGGCAGUUCCAGGCAGAGGAGAUGCUUCAUCAAGUAGUGAAGUGGCACAGGCUUGGGAGUGUGUCCCAGUCCUUGGUUUUGCUUUCUGUGAGAUGCCUUCAUUAAGCAGCUGAUUCAGAUCUCUCUAUUGUGUGGAGAAAUUAUUACUUUGUGAAUAAAAUUGCGUUUGGGCAGAGCUUAAAUAUCAUGCAUGCGUGUAGGAUCCUGAGGGAAGCACACUACUUCUCCUGAAUGCUAAUGAUGUUUCUGGAAGGAAUUAGGUUUUGUGAGUCCUUUGCAUUUUGAUCACUUCUUUGGAUCUUUCAUCUUCCUAGUUAUGAAAAAGUCUACACCUGGUAAAUAGUUUUUGGCAUCUCUCACAAAGAACUUGAAUUUAUCAUUCCUUCAAGUUUUCUCAAGUCUGUUAAGUGAAAUGACAAUGUCCAUAAAAGACUGCCCAGCAUGUAACCUUGCAGAGGACUCUGCUGUUCAAACUUUAUGUCCUGGUUUAGGGCAAAUGUGGAGGGAAACCUCUAAAGGGGUCCCUCUAGAAAGCAAAUUCAAGCAGCCCUGCCCUCCACCAGUUCAGGAGGCAUAAAUCUCCCUUGAGAAAAGUGGAAAAAAACUGUUUAUUUAACAAGCAAAGCACUCACGAACAUGGAAAAAAUGAGCAGUAUUAAACAAUGGAACCUCUCACUGCUCUGAAGAGAUGGCAAAUUCGGAGAGUCCUUGUCACGGGGUGUAGUUCUGCUCGCUCAGUCUCCCAUCAGCCCCUCCAGUGCUGGAAAGUGCUGUGCCCCAGGCCCCGGGUGGCCACAGGUGUGGGCUCCCAGUGUUUUUCUGGGUUUUUGGUCCAGAGCAGGUUUAAACAGUUCCAAGAAAAAGAAAAAAAAAGGCACAGUCUGGGAACUUCUCUGCCUCAGCUAGCUAAAAUAAACCCAGCAAAACAGCAAAGGAGAGCUCUCUCUGACCGUCUGUCCGUGCUACAGACAGCACAGUCGAGGAGCAGGAUGUGGGGGAGCAAGUGCAGUCCCUGAUACAAACUCUGCGCUUCUUCUCUCCCCUCUUUGCUCUCAGAACCAGUCUUAAAGGUACAGAACUCAAUAUCCAGCAUAAACAGAACAAACAAUUGGGGAUACCAGCACCAUAAAGCCACCCUAGGACUCUCAUAAUCCCAGGAGGUACCAAAUCUCCAGACUCUGCUUAUUUACAAACCAGAGCAAGUUGGUGACAAUAGUGGAGGAUCAUUUCUGGGUGGUGUUGGAAAGGCAGAUGAUCAGGAGAAUUGCUUGAUCUGUUAAUGCUAAGGGCACAGAUGGUGAGAUCAGACUGAGUGGCCUGCAGAGUGCCACAGGACUGCAUGGGGAGAUUCCUAAACACCGCACAUUUUCUGCAUUGUUCCAUGCCCCCAGCCAGUGCCAUUUACCAGUGGGGGCCAUCCUAUAGGUCUCCAUCUCUAGUGUGUGUGCUGCUGAGAAUGGUUAGACUGACAGCUUUUCCACACUACUUCAUGUACAAAUGGAAGAAAAGUGCAACAGCAAGCAUUUAUAGGAAAAAGCUUAUCAAUUAUAAUAAAACUUAGGCAGGCUUAGGAAAAAAUUAAAUAAGUUUAAUACAUUUUUCUUGUCUGCUCACUGGUUUACAAGUCCCUGGAAAUUGGUAGCUAUUCUGGCUUGAAAUGGAUGGAUGUCAUUCUUAUAGUGCAUAAUUUACCUUUUGCAGAGAGACAAACUUUCUGUCUCUCUCCUUAUUGUUGCUGAUUAGGUCCUUAUUUUUUACUACUCAUUUAUCGGGACUAUUUUUGGAAAGCUGGAUUUUUGGCAAGGUCAUCAUCAGCUUCUUACUUCCCUGUGAAUUGGAUUAUUGCCUCUAGCUGUGCAAAUGCUGACUUUCCUGUUCUCAUUUUUUUACUAGACAAUCUAAUACAUCUGGGUUUAUACUGUCUUCAUAGAACACCCACCCUGGCCUUCUGUGCUCAUCUCAGCAGCCCCACCACAUCCUCUCAUCCCUAAACUGUAAUUUCGGAAUUUUUUCAAAGUGCUAUGAGCUUCCUUGAGCCCUGGCUCACUCCUGUUAACUGCUGAAGACUGUUUUCCCAGAGCUUUGCUUGUGAUUUCAUGAAGUUGAGGGUGUACUACAAAAGCUAUUGUGCUGGCCAGAAGCCAUCCUCUCCAUAGUGGUGCAGACUAUUCAUUGGUGUUCUCAGCAGCCCAGUUUAUUCUUCCCUGCCAGUUCCCACCCUAUUCCAGUUUAGCUCAGAAUUAGACAUAAGUGUACAUUUAAAUGCAGGAUAAAGUGGAAGUCUUUCAACAUUUAUGCUGAAUCUGGACUAGUAAUCUUCCUUUUUUACAUCCAAUUUGAGCACAGAUUAUUCAAAAUAUUCCAGCAGUGAGGUGCAAAGAAGAGGGGGAGUAACUCCUCAGAUAAGUUUCCUAAAGAAAUUCUUACAGUGGCUGUUGGCUGGUUUUAAAGAAGAAAGCUUUAAAACCUUACCCAUUUUCCAAAGUGGUAUUCAUCUCAGCUAAGUGGAGACACUGAAAUGAAAGCAGCAAUUGAGACCCAUGGCCACCUGAGGUCACUUCUGCAGCUGGUGGAGGCAGGAUUGCCAGAGAGUACAGGUCUUUCUCUGCUGACUGCAGAGAGCCUGGAGUGGCCAAGGUUAGUUGGGGAGAGUCAGGGCCUGAGACAUGGUCACAUCACUUGAUGAAUGGCUGACAGAGAGCUUUGGAUGGAGCUAAGGGGAAAAAAUAUGUGAGUUUAUGACAAUAAGGGGAAGGCAACUUAGGAGGAGCUCUAGGAAAUUGUGAGGUUAUACAAGGAGAAAAUUAAAAGUGUGAAAUCCCAAAUAAAACUUAAUCUGGUUUAUACUCCUAUAAAUUCAUCAGUAAGAAAAGGAAGGCUAAGGAAUUCCUUGACCCUUAAGUUGAUGUGGGAGGAAACAAAGUGACAAAGAAUGAAGAAAAGACUUCAGGAACUUAAUGCCUUCUUUGCCUCAGGCUUUAGCAGUAAGACCAGUUGUUCUCAGGGCACCCAGCCCUCUGAGGUGGAAGACAGGAGCAGGGAGCAGAAUGAAGCCCCCAAGGCCCGAGGGUGGAUGGUCGGUGACCUUCCUCAUCACUCAGACACACACAGGUGUAUGAGGCUGAUUGGGCUCCACCCAAGGGUAUUGAGGGAGCUGGUGGAAGGGCUCACAAGGCACUCCCCACCAUUUAUUUACCAGCAGUCCUGGCUAAAUGUGAGUCAACUCUUUAACCGCCAGUCAAGUGGAAGGAGGGUUUGGGGAGCUACAGGCCUGUCAAACUCACCUUGGUAGAGGAAAAGGUUAUGGAGCAGAUCCUCUUGAGUGUCAUCAUGUGAAUCAUGAAGAACAAACAGGGAAUCAGGCCCAGCCAGGACAGGUUUGUGAAAAGCACGUCCUGCUUGACCAGCCUGAUCUCCUGCUGUGACAAGGUGACUUGCUUUAUUGCUGAGGGAAAGGCUGUUGUCUACGUUGACUUUAGUAAAGCCUUUGGCACAGUUUUGCACAACACUGUCCUAGAGAAACUGGCUGUUCACAGCUUGGAUGGGUUCUGGGGUUCUGGGCUAUAAACUGGUUGGAUGGCCAGGCCCAGAGAGUUGUGGUGAAUGGGGUACAUCCAGUUGGUGGCCAGUCACCGGUGAUGUCACCAGAGCUCAGUAUUGGGGCUGGUCCUGUUUAGUAUCCUCAAUGAUGAUCUGGAUAAGAGGACAGAGUGUACCCUCAGUCAGUUUGUGGAUGACACUGAGUUGAGUGAGAGUGUUGAUCUGCUGGAAGGCAGGAAAGCUCUGCAGAAGGAUCUGAACAGGCCGCAUCAAUGGGCUGAAGCCAAUUGUGUGAGGUUCAACAAGGAAAAAUUCUGGGUCCUACACUUAGGUCAGAACAACCUGAUGCAGCCCUACAGCCAUUCGUGCAGCCUCAGAGAUAGGGGUUAGGCACCAAGCAAGUUUUUAGUGUUGCAUCUGAGGCUUCUGCCCUGUGCCACUUGAAGCCUGUGCCAAAACCCCAGCUGAGCUGAGUGUCAGCAGGGCUGAGAGUUGUCAGUAGAUUGCACAAAUAAUAUGAGCAAAUCUCACCUAAUUUGUUGCAAAUUUGUUGCAAACCUUUUGGUUUUUCAACCUUUCUAUGCCUCUGAUUUCAUAGAUUUUUUUUAAAUGCUUUCGGUGCAAAAGGUAAAAUCACAAAAAAUUCAAAUAAUCAGAAAAAUAUAAUUGGCAGAAAUGUUUUCUAAAUACAAAUUGAACAUCUUCCUUUUGAUCGUGGGCUAUGCCAAAGCUCUAACAUACAUCUUUGAUCUUAUGGCAGUGUCUGGAGAAAUUAUGGUAUUCUAAUAUGGAAAAAUAGAUUCUCAUCAAGACUUGAAGCUUUAGGAAAUUGUUUAAUCUCCAUUCUCAGUGGCUGUUUCUUUGAUGCAGCUGUGGCUGAAGGGUCCCAAGUGCUGGAAAACCAGCUCACCAGCUCAGAACAAAGCUGAUUAUGUAAAUUGUGCAUUAAGAUUCAGUUUCAAUUUAAUUUUAUUCUGUAAAUAAAUAUCCUAUUAACAUCCAUCUGUUAAAAGUCAGGUAAAACAUUUUCAAAACCUCCAUUGCUAUGGCAGAUGUGACUGUACCAUAAAUAGCAAUGGUGUGGUGGUAUGAGCAUGUCAAAGUAUAAACUGUGAAGCACGUUUUAAGAAGUAAUGAAGGUGAUAACAUUUAAUUAUAACAAAAGAGACCUUGUCUGAUUGAGACAGACUGGGCUUCCAUUUGUGUUGUUCUGUUUGCAUUAUGCAAAAUGCAUUCUCGGAUCUCCAUCUCCAAGAACGCUAAUAAUUAUAGCUCAUUAAUUCACUUAAGACACAAAAACAUUUCAGCUGAUGAAGGUCAUUACUGAAUUAUGUCCAAGCCUUUUGCUUAAUAUCUUUUUAUUUUAAUAGCUUACUUGAGAGCAGUCAUUUUCCCUUUGUCUAGCUGGUACUUCACCACCAACGCUGUUAAUAGAUUGUAGUGAUCAGGAACAGAAUGAUGAACCCUGUCAGGUUUCCUAAAUUAGUCUUCAAAGAGUAUGAGAAGGUUCAAGUGCUUUUAACCCAUAGCUAUUUUUAACUAUUUUAAAAGUCAGAGAUUUCAUAUGCACUGCAGAAGAGCACUCGACAAGGAAGCAACCAGGGGAUUGGAGCAAAUUUCACUUAUACUGGAAGUAUAAAACUGUGUGUGUGUGUCAGCUGGAGAUUAGAAGCAGCUUCCCUAUAUAUUCUUAAACAUCCUGAAGGAGGAAUUGUAAAAGUGCUAAUUUAAUUCCGUAAAAAGAACGGAAAAUUAUUUUCUAUGUCACACACUGUAGGGAAUGGUCAGGGGUAAGUGCAUUGCUGUACCAAGAUGGAAUAAGCAAGGAGAAAUUACAAUUCUUCAUGGUACAAUCAGACUUGAGCACAAUCUUCCAGUACUCUGCUAUUCUACCUAAGCUCCUUAUUUAUGGAAAUCUGCAUCAUAUGUGCAAAUCCUUCCUUCUUGGCAGAAGCUGGCCUUAGGCAUAAAAUGACAUGCCUGUAAAUACCUAAUUGUUGAUACAACAAAAUGCCAUAUGUCACACUAAAGCUGGCAGUUUAAUUCCUGGUAAAACCAGUACUACAUUGAAACCUUUUUAUCAGAGGAAAUAAAAGGAGAGUUUGGUACCAAGUUUCAAGAAUGAUUGACUGCUCAGGUUAAGUGUAUUUGCAAGUCCAAGACAGCUGAGUGGUCCUCCAGGCAUCAGAUAUCACGAGGUAUGUCCUCAUUUCUGUCCAAUUUUCCAAAGGAAUUGUGAGGUGAUGGGGACUGCUGAUGCAGCUGAAGAAUACGGCUGAUAUCACAGACUCUUUUCUUGCACCAGUACAUAGAAAUUCUCUUUUGACUGUACAAUUUUUCAGCUAUCUUAGGCUUUUAUCAUCAGCUGGAUUUUACAGUGGUGUGGGUGUUGGACAAAGAGCAGAGGGCCAUUUGAUCACCUUCCACAGGUGAAGCUGGAUUAGAAAAGGCAGGUUAUCCCACCCCACCAGGUCAGACCUAGAUCUUUGACUGGGUAUAAAGACCUCUAAAUGGCCCUGGGCUUUGCUGUAUUUCAGCAAUUCAGGAAGUUGAUGGAUAAGAACAGAAUGAACCAUAGAAUCAUUUGGGCUGGAAAGGACUUCUAAGGUCAUUGAGUCCAAUCAAGUCCAGUAUGGAUCUCUCUUGAAUAUCCACCCAUCUCUCCCCUUCUCCACUACACCUAUAGGCAUGUCUUGGACAGAAACAGCUUCUCCAUCACCUGUCUUCUAAGACUCCCAGGCUGCAAAGAUACUGCAAGUCUGGAAAAACUGGGCUGUAAUAAAGGAAGGUGCAUUGAACAUCAUCGCUGCCAGCAAAGCUCUGCUCAGGUGUGGUCUGAGACACCCUGAGGGGUUUCUUGGCUCUACUGCCUGUGUGAAAUACAACACAUCAACACAAUCCUGCUCAAGAAGGUUUGACACUCCAUUUAGGACAUUAUUCAGGCUGAUGUGCUUUGCUAAGAUGGCAGUAGGGGAAGCAGCAAGUGACACUGCUAGAGAACAUCUCCAGAGCUUUAGCAUUUUCCUGACCAAGACUGUGCAGGAAAGUACUUUUUUCCUGGCACUGACACCAACUAUUCUGUAAGUGGAAAAAGCUCAGACUCUUCAAGGGAGUAUUAAAAAAAGAGCGCAUGGAUGCACACAGUCCACGAAGCUGCUCCAGGCAAAUAUGCAGUCACAGACAAAGCAUUUGUUGCACAAUCUGUACUAUUUUACAACAUAUCAUGUGGUCUUGUUUUCAAGAUUCAGAUCAAAACAUAACUUGUCUUUAAAAAAAAGAAAAAAUAUCUCUCUCCUCUUACUCUCAACAACCUAUGUCACAGCAUGGCUCUGCCCCUCUGCUCAUGAUAUGAUACAGUGGUUAUCCAUUUUCUCACCAUAUUCCUAAUGUCUCCUCAAAUCCUUGUCCACUCUCGUCUCUUAAACCUCAGAAGCCUUACCUAGAACAAGUUACCCUAAGUCAUGUAACACACAUGUUGAAAUUGGCACUUUUCUGAAGAAUGAUGUUCCUGGGGACUCCAGGAUAUGUCACUGCUAUUGCUGGUGUUUGAAACUGGGCUUGGAUUUCACAUAAUUUCAGGAAGAUAGUUGAAUACAAAUCCGAUCAGGGUCAUUUUUGUUAUAUUUACUUAUAUUUGGCAGAGAAUAAAAAACUUGCUGUAGCUGAUGGGUUUUCCAUCUUGUGGCAGGCAGAGAGCAGUCAGACUUCUGGGGCUGGGUGGGCUUGCUGAAUGCCCCUCUUCACCCCACACUCCCAAAGGGACAUUUCCAAUUCAUUAGGUAUUCCCUAUCCAGAAGGAAAAUCUUUUUAAAAGAGGAUUUUUAGAAGACACAUGUUAUUCUAAUCAGAUGCCUCUGUGAACUCUGCAGCAGAGAGGCCAGGCUCUGUUGGCAAGCUUUACUGAGUAUGACUUAAAUGCAUUAGAUUAGAAAGCACUCAAUUUAGCUGGUUGUUUUUCCUGAUUUGCUUGGCUACUCCAUCUUGCCCUCCCUCUCCUUUAUUGUGAUGGAGAUGCCACGAGGCUGGCAUGCAGAAAAGGCUUCAUGUCAGCAUAUUCAGGGUCCUAAAGGCAAGAUGCAUCUAUGAUUGCAUAGCACAAUGAUCAAAAGUAUUCCAGAGCUUCUUAAUUAACCUAUCUAAUUUAUCUUCCCUCUGUGUGGUAAAUUGCAAGUUAAAUACAAGAGGGGGUAACAACUCAAGGCCUCAUUUUCAGAAGGUCAGCCUUGCAAUUUACACAGACUCUUUCCACUUGGGAUUGAAAACCAAACUCAGAUAAAAGCGUUGCCACCUUCAGCCACUUGCUGGGAUAAAUGGGAGUGGGGAGAGGUGCAAGUACACAGAGAAGUAUUUUACAAGUGCAGACAUGGAGAUACAAAUUUUACAGGCAAAAGGGAGGGCCAAGCCUUGACCUGUUUGAAAUGUUUCCUCUUAAUAAGUCAGCUUUGAGAUUCCUACCACUGCAACUUGUGGCAAAUCUGCAGGGUGAGUGCAGCCACAGGGCUGUCACUCCAACACAGUGGAAAUUAAUGUAGAUGUAGCUCGGAAGUGUGUCAGUGUAGAGGGCUGUUUUAUGCUAAUAAGACUUGCCACCUUCUUUUAAACAUCCUUAGUUCCCAGAAGGGCAGACUUACUCAGACAUGGAGCUGUGCCAAUUUUUCUGAAUAGAAAAGGCAGCCAGGUAUGGCUGAAGACCCUUCUGUUUGCCUGUACCUAGCUGAGUGCUCCAUGAAAAGGGAGGUAACAUGUCAGAAAAGUUCCAAUGUUGUGAUUUAUAAUCACAAUAGAGUGAUUGCAAAGAGUCUUUCUCCCUGAAGACAAAACACGUAUUAGUUCUGGCCUUGCGAGAAGUGAUUUGCAGGAUGUGUGAGGAAGGCAUGGAUUUAGGCAAAGGAACUGAUGACAAGCCUCUUUCCCAGGAUUUGCACCCUCCUGGCAUGUCAGCUCUCAGAUUUCAAUACUCUACCUCAUCCACUCCCUCCUUUGAGACCCUGACUGUCCCACCACGGCAGCAUCCACAGCUUUGUGCUGCUCCACUACUUUGCUGGAUAGGAACACACAUGGUUUUCAAGGGAGAAAGAAUGCAAAGGAAGGGAGAGGGACAGGGAGGGAACUGUGGGCCCUCCCCAGGACUUGCUUCCAGCCUGAGGGCUAUGACAGAGGGACAGUCAGGCUUGCUCUGGGAGAGGUGGGCUGAAGGCAGAGACCAAAAGGCAGCUGCCUGGUAAUUUUUUUUUUUUUUUUUUAACAGUGCAUUAAUAAAAGUUAUCCCCAGUAAAAGUCUCCAGGAAAGGGAUUUGCAAAACAGGCAUGCAAAACAGUCUGAAGACCUAUCCAUUUUACCUUAGGACAUGACAUGCACUGGAAGAUAGCCAGGCUCUUUGACAACUUCUUGGACUGCAGAAAGGGACAUAGCUGCCUGCUGCAUUCAGCCUUGGGAAAUGAGUCUUGGGGCUUGGGCUGCAGCACUGCAACCUCUCAGAGCUUGAGCAUCCCUUGGGAUGACUUUUUUUGCUGGGAGAUUGUUCAUCUCCAGCCAUAGCUUUCCUUUCUGCCUGCCCUCUGACCCGCCUGUUAAUAAGCUAACCAAUAUGUGUGCCACAUAAAUAUCCCAGGAAAUACUAUGGUUGGGGUUUCUCAAUCAUUCAAACUCUCUUGCUUCCUCAGCACCACAGCUUCACCAUCUCACAUCUAUUCUACCAGCCACUAAUGGCACUAAUGCAAACAGCAAGGUGGAAACAAGGCACUCGUGCAAAUGCAUGUAUCAGAGGUAAAAUGAAGGUGAAGAGGCACAGCCCCUGCUUUGUUAAUUAUUUCUCUGGAUCAUCCAAUUCUAAUGUAAUUCCAACUUAUUACACAUAAAUAUAUAUAAGCCCUAUAUACAUAUGUGUAUGCACAUGUGUGUACACACACACAUAUAUGUAUAGAAUUCAAUAUAAUUAAUUUCCACAACCUUUAAAAGUGUCCAGAAACAAAUAAGUAAAUAAAUAAGUAAAAAAAUAAUGCCUGUCCAAGAUGGGGGGGGGGGGGGGUUGAUGUUUACAAAGUAUAGCUAUGUGCUCAAGCUUGCAGCAAUAAGACUGGCAACAGAUAGUCUUGAAAACACAAUCACAAUAAUACUUACAUAGCACUUUGAAGCUUCAUAGUGAGCUGAAAACACAAAUAAAUCCCAUGAACUGAACAGCUUGGUAGCGCUACCUGCCCCUUUCAAAUGGAGUACGAAGGAAGAAAUGCCACCACUAUCUGCGAACAGGCUUCAUUUUUUUCACUGAAGAAAAUCAAUGACUUGAGCUCAAAGCUGGAAACACACUUCUCAAGUUUUAAGGAAAAGAUUCCUUACCCUUGAGGAAGGCUGUGGGGACCCAUCAUGACUCUGGUCUCUAGCAUGCACAGGGGUCUGCUGCCACCACUACCUGCACUGAGGACCUGCGGCAGAACCCCCCAGGAGCUUAUUUCCUUGGACAUAAAGGAAGACACAGCAAUUGCUUUAGAUGGAAACAUCUACAUUUUGAACUAUUAAGCUGGAUGAAAGUUCUCUGAUUCCUCAUGCUAAAACAUUUGCUGCUGCGAAGUCCACCUUUCUGCAUUAAAAAAGCUGACAACAGCAAAAAAAAGAAGAGAUUCACUACCGUUCACACACUACCAUUAGUUUCCCUUCUCUAUAGGAAGAGAUAGCUUUAGCACAGACACAGUUUUCCAUCCUGAAAAUGUUUACAAGACAUUCUACUAAUAUCCCAUUGAAUAAUAAAUGCACAUUUGUGUACUCUGCUGAUACAGGAUUUGAAGCAAACAAGUUCAGUCCGCACUAAAUCCAGUGAGUGAAAUCAAAGUGAAAAAUAAAAAAGAAAGGUGACUG